rnacentral:rRNA from 1 species
GAUUGGCUUACCUGCAAGUCGAGCGGAGAUGAGGUGCUUGCACCUUAUCUUAGCGGCGGACGGGUGAGUAAUGCUUAGGAAUCUGCCAUUUAGUGGGGGACAACAUUCCGAAAGGAAUGCUAAUACCGCAUACGUCCUACGGGAGAAAGCAGGGGAUCUUCGGACCUUGCGCUAAAUGAUGAGCCUAAGUCGGAUUAGCUAGUUGGUGGGGUAAAGGCCUACCAAGGCGACGAUCUGUAGCGGGUCUGAGAGGAUGAUCCGCCACACUGGGACUGAGACACGGCCCAGACUCCUACGGGAGGCAGCAGUGGGGAAUAUUGGACAAUGGGCGGAAGCCUGAUCCAGCCAUGCCGCGUGUGUGAAGAAGGCCUUUUGGUUGUAAAGCACUUUAAGCGAGGAGGAGGCUACUAGUACUAAUACUACUGGAUAGUGGACGUUACUCGCAGAAUAAGCACCGGCUAACUCUGUGCCAGCAGCCGCGGUAAUACAGAGGGUGCGAGCGUUAAUCGGAUUUACUGGGCGUAAAGCGUGCGUAGGCGGCUYUUUAAGUCGGAUGUGAAAUCCCCGAGCUUAACUUGGGAAUUGCAUUCGAUACUGGGAAGCUAGAGUAUGGGAGAGGAUGGUAGAAUUCCAGGUGUAGCGGUGAAAUGCGUAGAGAUCUGGAGGAAUACCGAUGGCGAAGGCAGCCAUCUGGCSUAAUACUGACGCUGAGGUACGAAAGCAUGGGGAGCAAACAGGAUUAGAUACCCUGGUAGUCCAUGCCGUAAACGAUGUCUACUAGCCGUUGGGGCCUUUGAGGCUUUAGUGGCGCAGCUAACGCGAUAAGUAGACGCUGGGGAGUACGUCGCAAGACUAAAACUCAAUGAAUUGACGGGGGCCCGCACAAGCGGUGGAGCAUGUGGUUUAAUUCGAUGCAACGCGAAGAACCUUACCUGGCCUUGACAUACUAGAAACUUUCCAGAGAUGGAUUGGUGCCUUCGGGAAUUUAGAUACAGGUUCUUUGUAGGUGUGUUUUCACUCGUGUCGUGAGAUGUUGGGUUAAGUCCCGCAACGAGCGCAACCCUUUUCCUUACUUGCCAGCAUUUCGGAUGGGAACUUUAAGGAUACUGCCAGUGACAAACUGGAGGAAGGCGGGGACGACGUCAAGUCAUCAUGGCCCUUACGGCCAGGGCUACACACGUGCUACAAUGGUCGGUACAAAGGGUUGCUACCUAGCGAUAGGAUGCUAAUCUCAAAAAGCCGAUCGUAGUCCGGAUUGGAGUCUGCAACUCGACUCCAUGAAGUCGGAAUCGCUAGUAAUCGCGGAUCAGAAUGCCGCGGUGAAUACGUUCCCGGGCCUUGUACACACCGCCCGUCACACCAUGGGAGUUUGUUGCACCAGAAGUAGGUAGUCUAACCGCAAGGAGGACGCUUACUCAU